GGGGCCAUCUGGCCCCACCGUAAUGCAGCCGCGCCGAUGGCGCGCCGGUCACAAGCCCGAAAAAUGCAGAGUGCGGC
rnacentral:ribozyme from 1 species